UACGUAGGGGGCGAGCGUUGUCCGGAAUCAUUGGGCGUAAAGCGCGUGUAGGCGGCUCGAUAAGUCCGGUGUGAAACCUUGGGGCUCAACCCCAAGCCUGCACUGGAUACUGCCGAGCUAGAGUCCGGGAGGGGAGAGCGGAAUUCCUAGUGUAGCGGUGAAAUGCGCAGAUAUCAGGAAGAACACCAAUGGCGAAAGCAGCUCUCUGGGACGGUACUGACGCUGAGACGCGAAAGCGUGGGGAGCGAACAGG
rnacentral:rRNA from 1 species